ensembl:lncRNA MIR646HG MIR646 host gene
AGGCGGUGCUGGGGUGCACCAGGGCAGCAGCUACAGGCCCUGCUGAAAGGGUUGACAAUGAAGACUCUCAGGCCACCGUAACUCAUGGAGAAGCCCUGAGCAUCUGGCCCGCUUAAUGCACCAGCUGGAGUCGACAUUAAAGGGCCCCAUUUCCCAUUUGCUGCAGAAGAUGUUUAAUUGGAAGUCUCUCCCUGUCCUUUUACCCUCUGGUGCUGGGCACCAAUGAGAAGCUCAUCUGGCCCCGGGAUCCUGGCAGGACACUGGGAGCACUAUUUCCAUGGGCAGCAGGGUUGUUCCUGGAGACAUCACUGACCCAGGACACCUAGCACAAUGGCACUCGAUGUGAAAGUGGCUUCGUACAAAUCUGCCACUCAAGCCUAAAUAAGUGCAUUCCAGAAGAGCCGCAGCCCCUCUAACAGCUCCUGAGAGAUGACAGAAGAGACAUCCAGGAGUAGAUUUCAAUGCACAGCAGCAGCUGAGAGAAGCCAGCUGUGAAAAA